rnacentral:rRNA from 1 species
AUAAUGGGUCAGCGACUUAUAUUCUGUAGCAAGGUUAACCGAAUAGGGGAGCCGAAGGGAAACCGAGUCUUAACUGGGCGUUAAGUUGCAGGGUAUAGACCCGAAACCCGGUGAUCUAGCCAUGGGCAGGUUGAAGGUUGGGUAACACUAACUGGAGGACCGAACCGACUAAUGUUGAAAAAUUAGCGGAUGACUUGUGGCUGGGGGUGAAAGGCCAAUCAAACCGGGAGAUAGCUGGUUCUCCCCGAAAGCUAUUUAGGUAGCGCCUCGUGAAUUCAUCUCCGGGGGUAGAGCACUGUUUCGGCAAGGGGGUCAUCCCGACUUACCAACCCGAUGCAAACUGCGAAUACCGGAGAAUGUUAUCACGGGAGACACACGGCGGGUGCUAACGUCCGUCGUGAAGAGGGAAACAACCCAGACCGCCAGCUAAGGUCCCAAAGUCAUGGUUAAGUGGGAAACGAUGUGGGAAGGCCCAGACAGCCAGGAUGUUGGCUUAGAAGCAGCCAUCAUUUAAAGAAAGCGUAAUAGCUCACUGGUCGAGUCGGCCUGCGCGGAAGAUGUAACGGGGCUAAACCAUGCACCGAAGCUGCGGCAGCGACGCUGAUGCGUUGUUGGGUAGGGGAGCGUUCUGUAAGCCUGCGAAGGUGUGCUGUGAGGCAUGCUGGAGGUAUCAGAAGUGCGAAUGCUGACAUAAGUAACGAUAAAGCGGGUGAAAAGCCCGCUCGCCGGAAGACCAAGGGUUCCUGUCCAACGUUAAUCGGGGCAGGGUGAGUCGACCCCUAAGGCGAGGCCGAAAGGCGUAGUCGAUGGGAAACAGGUUAAUAUUCCUGUACUUGGUGUUACUGCGAAGGGGGGACGGAGAAGGCUAUGUUGGCCGGGCGACGGUUGUCCCGGUUUAAGCGUGUAGGCUGGUUUUCCAGGCAAAUCCGGAAAAUCAAGGCU